AACCUGGACCUCUCUGCAUGUCAUAACUAGGCCCUCUCUGCAUGUCAUAACCGAGCCCUCUCUGUGGAUCAUAACUGGGUCCCCUGUGUAUAUCAUAGUUAGGCCCUCUUUGUGCAUCAUAUUUAGAACCUUUCUGUGCAUCAUAACCAGGUCCUUUUGUUGGAUCAUAGCCGGGUCCUUUGGCUGGAUCAUAACUGGGUCCUUUGGUUGGAUCAUAACUGGGUGCUUUGGAUGCAUCAUAACCAGGUCCUUUGGAUGCCUCAUAACCAGGUCCUCUUGGUAUGUCAUAAGCAGCCCUCAUAGGAGUUCCUGAUUGAGUUGCCGCAUAAGCACUGGUACUUGUAUUAGGCCCAGCACCAACAACACCAGCAGUAGUAGCUGAAGGUGGAGGCCCA
rnacentral:lncRNA from 1 species